GAUGAACGCUGGCGGCGUGCCUAAUACAUGCAAGUCGAGCGAACAGACGAGGAGCUUGCUCCUCUGACGUUAGCGGCGGACGGGUGAGUAACACGUGGAUAACCUACCUAUAAGACUGGGAUAACUUCGGGAAACCGGAGCUAAUACCGGAUAAUAUAUUGAACCGCAUGGUUCAAUAGUGAAAGACGGUUUUGCUGUCACUUAUAGAUGGAUCCGCGCCGCAUUAGCUAGUUGGUAAGGUAACGGCUUACCAAGGCAACGAUGCGUAGCCGACCUGAGAGGGUGAUCGGCCACACUGGAACUGAGACACGGUCCAGACUCCUACGGGAGGCAGCAGUAGGGAAUCUUCCGCAAUGGGCGAGAGCCUGACGGAGCAACGCCGCGUGAGUGAUGAAGGUCUUCGGAUCGUAAAACUCUGUUAUUAGGGAAGAACAAAUGUGUAAGUAACUAUGCACGUCUUGACGGUACCUGAUCAGAAAGCCACGGCUAACUACGUG
rnacentral:rRNA from 1 species